GGCGGAUUUCCCAAGCGGUCAAAGGGAGCUGACUGUAAAUCAGCCGCUACUAGCUUCAGUGGUUCGAAUCCACUAUCCGCCA
rnacentral:tRNA from 4 species